rnacentral:rRNA from 1 species
GACGAACGCUGGCGGCGUGCUUAACACAUGCAAGUCGAACGGAAGGGCCCUGCUUUCAGGGUACUCGAGUGACGAACGGAUGGGUAAGUCGUGCGUGAACUACCCUCCACUUCGGCUGAGGCUUCGUAAACUAAGCGUAAUACCUGAUAGGACCUCACUUGAGCGGCAGGGGUGAAAAGUUUUUCCGGUGUAUGAUGAGCUCGCGGCCUAUCAGCUCGUUGGUGUGGUAAUGUCCUACCAAGGCGGCUAGGGGUAGCAGGCCUGAGUGGGUGUACGGCCACACUGGGACUGAGAUACGGCCCAGACUCCUACGGGAGGCAGAAGGGGGGAAGCUUGCACAAUGGGCGCAAGCCUGAUGCAGCGACGCCGCGUGGCGGAUGAAGGCCUUCGGGUUGUAAACUCCUUUCGUUAGGGACGAAGCUUUUUGUGACGGUACCUAGAUAAGAAGCCCCGGCUAACUACGUG